UACGGAGGGUGCAAGCGUUAUCCGGAUUCACCGGGUUUAAAGGGAGCGUAGGUGGCUUUGUAAGUCAGUGGUGAAAUCUUAGAGCUUAACUCUAAAACUGCCAUUGAUACUGCUUAGCUUGAAUCACGUCGAGGUGGAUGGAAUAUUACAUGUAGCGGUGAAAUGCUUAGAUAUGUAAUAGAACACCGAUUGCGAAGGCAGUUCACUAGGCGUGUAUUGACACUGAGGCUCGAAAGCGUGGGGAUCAAACAGG
rnacentral:rRNA from 1 species